GGCCGCUCCGGUUGCCUAGUGAUUAGAGCGUCCGCCUCAUAUGCGGGAGGUCGUCGGUCGGUUCGAUCCCCUGUCGAGUCA